rnacentral:lncRNA from 1 species
AGUGAAAAAUGUUUAAUUUGUUUUUAGUCCAGCAACUAUUAUUCUGCUGUUUAUAACUGACUGGUGUGAGAACAACUGCAAAAAAUUCCCACUGAACUUAAUUUUACCAUUGAUGAUUACCAUUAUCGAAGGCCUGUUUCUUGCAGUGGUUUCGUCGUAAGUCUUUUUCAAGAAUUUUCUUUAAUUGUACUUUAAUUGUGCAUUUCAUUUAAAUAAUAUGUUGUAUGCUUGAAUUUUAGCUACUUUGCUGCCAUGACGGUAAUGCAGGCUGGAGGAAUAACAGCAUUUGUGACUUUGAUGCUGUCUUGGGUUGCUCUAAAGUCAAAAUUGAAUGUCACUCGUGAAGCUGUGCCCUCCUGGAUUGUGGUCUCAGGAAAUUUGUUAAUCUCUAAAAUGCCAAAACUCCUGCGCUUUUUGCGGAUACAGAUUAACAUAGCUCCUAAUUUAAUACCUGUCUCAAUGCUGGUCAU